ensembl:lncRNA
CUCCCUCACAUCCCCUCUCUCACAUCCUCCCCUUUAAUAAGAUGAACCCUGAUCCUCUCCCCCCUCGACUCCCUUCAGGGUCUCCCCCGUCUCUCCACCAGCUCAUUCCACUCCUCACUCUCUCUCGAUUUUUCCCCCAUUUACCAUUUCUCCGUGGCGUUGUCUUGUUUCUACGGUAACCACUGCUCCUUUUCUCAGCCCCCCCCACCCCAUGUCUCUUUUGUCGCCGGUUAUCCUUCGCCGCGGCGCCGCGUGCCAGCGCUGUUUCUGGGGGUUUAAGGGGAAGGGCGGCGGCGGCCGGUUAACCCCGUAAUGAUGCCUCCGUUGCCCCGGGUUGUCGCCGCCGCCCUCCAUCUGUCGGCUCAAAGAGAGUGGCCAAUCAGGCGGCCGCGUGAUGCGCUGUGACCCGGCCGGACAGACCGCCGGACAGAGGGGAGCGACCGGAGAACCGGGGACUGGAAUGAAGGAACGGCCGACGCUCAUUAGACCGUCAGCGAUCAUCAGCGUGGUGCAGGAGCUGAGGAGGACGGCAGAGCUGUGUGCUUCUCCCCGUCGGGUCAACAUCUGACCACCACAGGCUUUGAUGUGCUCCUUGGAAACCCCCGACACCUUAGGCAACACCAGGGAGUCAUAAGGGUCCUAAGGGUCUGUCUUAAGAUUCAGUCUUCAGGUUCAUUCUCAAGGUUGUGUCUUAAGGUUAAGUCUUAAGGUUCUGUCCUAUGGUUCUGUCUUAAGGGUCUGUCUUAAGGUUCUGUCUUAAGGUUUUGUCUUAAGGUUAAGUCUUAAGGUUCUGUCCUAAGGUUAAGUCUUAAGGUUCUAUCUUAAGGUUCAGUCUUAAAGUUAUGUCUUAAGGUUCAGCCUUAAGGUUCAUUCUUAAGGUUCUGUCUUAAGUUGUUGUCCUAAGGUUCUGUCUUCAGGUUCUUUCUUAAGGUUAAGUCUUAAGGUUAAAUUUUAAGGUUCAGUCUUAAGGUUCCGUCUUAAGGUUCCGUCUUAAGGUUAAGUCUUAAGGAUCAGUCUUAAGGUUCUGACUUAAGGUUCAGUCUUAAGGUUCUGUCUUAAGGUUCUGUCUUAAGGUUCAGUCUUAAGGUUCAGUCUUAAGGUUCUGUCUUAAGGUUCUGUCUUAAGGUUCUGUCUUAAGGUUCAGUCUUAAGGUUCUGUCUUAAGGUUCUGUCUUAAGGUUCUGUCUUAAGGUUCUGUCUUAAGGUUCAGUCUUAAGGUUCUGUCUUAAGGUUCUGUCUUAAGGUUCUGUCUUAAGGUUCUGUCUAAAGGUUAUUUUUCUGGUCCGGUCCACUUUCCCUGUUGGCGAUCAGUCAGUUGUUCAUUUAGCCGCACAAAGACGGAGGCUGGAGGCUGGAGGGGAGGAGGGAGGAGGAGAGGGGUGAGGGAGGCAGGAGAGAGAGGGUGAGGGAGGAGGGGGUGAGGAGAGAGGGAAUGAGGAGAGAGGGGAUGGUGGCGAGGAAAGACCGGGAAGGGAGUGGACAUGGGGAGUCCUCAAACGCAGAUAUUCAGACAUGAAGGAGAGAAGUGAAAUAGACUACGGAUACAAAAAUAAGGAGGCAAAAGAUUGUCGCCAUGGAAACAGUGACCUUGUGCAUGAUGAGCUUAGGUUGGCUGUUCAACAGCACUUUGUUACAUCUCUGUAAUGAUUGCACAUGAGGUUGGAUAUUAGUAAAGAGGAGGGAGCAGAAUGUACAAUGGAAAAAAAAAACGAUUUGAUGUGCUUUUCCAAAAAAGGAUCUGUUAGGAUUUGUGAUUGCAAGUAAAGCAGCUUGACUGUGCGCCUUUAAAACGGAUACGCUUCACUCUGUCAUAAAAUGAAGACUUUAUCUCACCUUCAAGGUGAACGACUAUGAAGCAAUCUACAGUCUGGCUGCUAAUGCAGGCCUCUGCACACAGGCGUGAGAAUAUUGUGCGAGACACAGGAAACAAUGGGAAAGUUCUGCGUGAGCCUGUAUUCACAGGCUGGAGCUCUUCCAGAGCGAAGCUGGCACAGGCCGCUGGCGCCCACAACAUCGACCAUCCCAAGUGAACCAUUCUUUCCCUUCUUUAACUGAUUUAUUUUCAAUGCGCAUUUCUUUUCAAUGCUUUGGUGGCUUACUGAUUCAAUGUUGAUGCGAAGCUACAAUUUAAAAAAAGAGAUACAUGGAAGCUUCGGAGGUAUUUUUAGAAACCUGCGGAUGAACAGCAGUUGUGAAUUAUUUUGAAUGAAUGGAAUAUCUUUGUGUUGGUAUCUACAUGAUGUGCAAGCAGAAUGUAUUACCCUGAGGAAUUAUUUUGAACCAGAAGAAGAAAAAAACGGACUUAAAUAUUAUGGAAGAUGUUCGGACUUUAAAUACCAGCAGUGUGAGCUUUUUCUGUGCAGACCCUAAACCCAGUUCAUCAUAUUAUCCCUUUUUCUGCAAACUGUCUGUGUACGGGGAGGGUAAAAUAGGGUAUAUAUGCUCUCUUGUUUUUGGAGAGAAAAAUCAACAAAAGGUUACUUUCUACAAAAAAUAUUUUCAAAAUGAACAUGCAAAAACACUUUUCUGAUCAAAAUUUUACAUGUGCUUUAAUUGUAAAAAAAAAAGAUAGAAAAAAACAGUGAAGAGACUGUGCUUGUUCAGAGUCAAACUAAUUACUCUGGGGAGGAGGUUCAGUAAUUGAUAUCUGAGAUUGUAGUUCAUACUGUACAUGAAUACAAAUAAAAAAAUACAUUUUUUCCAAUAUAUUCUAUUUCAUAUAUUUUCCACGGUGCCGUCAUCAUCAUAAUCAUUUUGCGUUGCCCUUUGCACAUGAAUACAAGUCCAUUUAACAACAGUGACAGGCAGCAGAAAGGAGCCUUCGAUCUGAU